GCCAGGCACAGUUGUGCAUGCCUGAAAUCCAGCUAUUUUGGAGGUUGAGGCAGGAGGAUCACAAGUUUGAGACCAGUCUGGGCCAUUUAGUGAGACCCUGUCUCAA
rnacentral:sRNA from 1 species